ensembl:misc_RNA 7SK 7SK RNA
GCAUUUGUGAGGGCGAUGCAGCUGAGUCAUCUAUGGCCCCUAUUGAUUGCCAGGGUUAAUUUAACUGAUCUGGCUGGCUAGGCAGGUGUCCCCUUCCAAUCUCACCACUCCAAGUGCAUCCCUCCCAUGGAUAAGCACUUGGUCGAAAAGGGCAACCCUUUCCAAACCGAGGACAGGUCUUCCAUCAAGAGUAUGUGACUGGCUGUACUCUCCUGCUGAAGCCUCCAAACAAGCCUCAAGAAUCAAAUUAGGCAAUGACAAAAGUAAACUUAAUAAGAAACUAUUAGGGAUACAUUUUCUUUAAGU